CUCCGUCCGGAAUUACUUGUCAUCAAAAUGGAUGUGUCUAGAACUAAAAUACAUCUAGAUACAUCCAUUUCAAUGACAAGUAUUUUUGGACGGAGGGAGUACAAG
rnacentral:pre_miRNA from 1 species